UGGUUGCUGAAAAUUGUCUUGUUGCUUCUCUUUCUUGAUGGGUUCUUAAUUUUGUUCUGCAAUCUCAGAGUAGUUUAUCUUAUUGUUAGCCUUCAAUCUAAAUGGGUUAUUGGAUGACAAAAGUCUUUGUAUUGUUUUGUUUGGAUUAUCAGAUCCAGUAGCCACUAGCCAAGGUAAUAUAAUAGAUCUGAGUUUAAAAGAUCCGAGCUUUGUUGCCAUGGACAUCGAGUUGGUCCGGUCGAAUUGCGAAGCAAGGCUAAAAGGAGGAUGUUUAGCUUUAUCAGUGGGUGGCAAGAACUAACAAGGGUUAUGAUAAGCAGAUAUGGCAAGUAGCUGAACACGAGAAAGGCGAUAAACCGUUCAUCACUUUCUAAUAUCAAUCAUGAUAGGGAAGGAAGAUUGAUACAAAGGAUAUUAUUUUCAUAUGUGGGGGUGCCAUUAUCGACUUAGAGAAAACCAUCUCAGAAGAUGCCAAGAUUGCUUUAUUGGGUUAGGUGCUCCAGUUGGAGCAAACAUGAGAACUGGUGGUGUUACAGAUGCUGCGGUUACAUCAUCCUUAUUGGAGAUUGAGCUGUGUCAAAGAUUAUAUGGAGAGAACAAGCACCAAGGCUGGGACAACAGAGGGAUUGACGUUUUUUUUUUUUUUUUUUUUUCGGGGGUCUUUUUCGGAAGAGAUCCGAGGCUUCCAUUUUGAUAUUGG